AUUGCUGACGAAAAGGCCAUCUACUUUCUUAGGCAUCUCAUGAGUUGUUCCAGAUAGCUUUCCUUUUAAGAUCUAUGAGCGUAUGGUAGUCUAAGCCAUUUUUAGUGGCUGAGCCACAUGAGAGAGAAAUGUGUUUCCUUUUCCCUCAGAGAUAAUGUGGAAACCAUUGUACAUCCCCAAGUCCUGUGUCCCAGCUGUGUCUGCUACAGUUUUGGAGACACGGUGUCCCUGUCUAAGGACUCUAAGGACGGCUGGGAUUCAGUCUCAGGACUCAGGACACUAGCAGAUUCUCCAGGGAUGCUCCACGCCAAAGAGCAGACUAAGUGCCCCUGGAGAUGCUUCCAGAAAAUUCCAUGCAAGCCACUAACACUGAAAGCAUUCCUCGGAGCAACUUUGUUCGCAGACAACCUCUGAUAAUCCCUUUCACCAAGAUUUUGGCUCUGGGAGAAAAGCUUUAAACGCCUAAGCCAAGCAGGAACAUGGAAGGAGCUGGAUGGAGGAAGAGUGGCAGCCUUGGGUUCGACCUCGGGAUUCUUCAGGUGCAGGACCAUUUCAGAAAUAAGCAAGGAGAAAAAGAAAAGGACACAAAAAAGAAGAAGAAGAGAAAAAAAAAGACCCUUUGGCUCACAGAGUAAAAAUCUUUGAAAUGAAAGUUGUGCAGGCAGUAAAUAUGGAGGCACACAAUACAUCCAGAGCUGCAAUUGAGAACACAGGCCACUGCCUCUCGGUUACAGA